ensembl:lncRNA LOC102553576 uncharacterized LOC102553576
CACCUGCUCUAGCAUGGCUGGCCCACACACCUUGGGGAGUGGCUCAAAAACUUCUUCAGGGAGACUCUGCCCUAUCUAAACUGCUCUCUUUCAGAUCUGGCUCCCCUGAGCGCAGAUGGAAACUGUCUCUGAGGCCACGUCAACCAUGAAGAAACAGUCCCUGGAAUAUAGUAAAUCCUCGGUCAAAGAGAAGUCUUGAUUAACAUGGGCAGAAAGGAUGCCAACGGUGACUUUCAUCACUCCUGUUUGAUUCCUGUCUUCUUCACCCUUCAGAGCCAGCAAGAGUUUGCUGGCUUGGAUGUUCCUGGGUGGCGGAGUCCAUAGUCUGAGGGCAAGGAGGUCUUGGAAGCAGUUUUCCUGGGUAGAACCUAGUUUUCAGCUGAGACUCCCACCCUCAACACACAUCAAGCUGAAGAUGAGCCCUCUGCCUUUUUUCUAAUACGGAGUUGGAUGUCCCCAGACCAGUGCCGGGAAGGAGGAAGCUCCGGAUACUUGUGAAGGUGUGGGCUGUCCUUUUGCACACCCAUAGUCUCCUUUGACUUUGAAGUUCGGACUGUCACCAUUCCACUUUGGCUUCUGGAUCAAGAAAAUGGUCAAUGUGCUGCCAUGGUAAAGCUCCAGGGGACUUGGAAUCACUCCAGGAUAAUGACAUAUGCCACCCAUUGACAGCUCUGACACGGGCUUUGUUCAGUCACUUCAGACAGCUACUGUUUAAUGUCUUAUUCAGUUCUUCAACAACGCUGUGGACGAAGAAACGGUCCACAGCUGAUAGGCGGAGACACUGAGGUGCGGAGAAGCUAAGGGAUUUAUCCAGGACCUCUCAACCAGCCAUGCCGAACCUGCAGUGUGCACCUUGUUCCUUGGGACAUCAUGCUGCUGCUACAUUACUUGAAGUCGGGUCUUGAGGGAUAUGCACAGUCUGAAGUUCUCUCUUUGUGUACUAAUGAAAACACAGUGGGUACUCCAUUUCCUAGCAGGGCUAGCUCUGGGCUGCUUCAUACUUAAAAUCAUGAAAACUUGCUGAAAUUUAAAAAUCUAGAUCUUGGGCUGGGGAGAGAGCUCAUUGGUUAAAAUCACCACUGCUCAUUCAGAGGAUCCAAGUUUAAUUCCCAGUACCCACGUGGUAGCUCACAACUGUCAGUGACUCUAGUUUUAGGGGGACAACUCCUAAAACUAGGACAAAUAUGUUCUCACCCAGACAAAUAUGCAGUUAAAACACCAAUGCACACAAAAUAAACAAAAAUAAAUAAAUACAUACAUACAUACAAUCUAGAUUUUAGCUGCAUUAUAUAUGUUCCACAAGCUCCAAAACCCUGCAGAACUACAUCCUUUAGGAUGUUUGGGCACUAAAGGGACAGAACAUUAGAACUUUCUGUAGAAACUACCAGAACAAAGCACAGUGGCAGAUGAAGAACCAGAGAUGCAAGGAACAUAAAAAGCACACAAUGGGAGGCUCAUUGCUCUGCUAUCACAUCUAAGCCCCUCCCUGGCCUCCUGUUCCUGCUUUCGGAAUAACUUUCUUGUGGAUCCCACGUUGCCCGUGGAAGGUACCUCACCUCUGCUUUCCUAUGUGCUCGGUGCCCUGAGGGUUGGGGGAUGUGACAUGGCUAUCACUAUCUACACAGUCAGUCACUUGGCACUGUAGGCUGUAGGGAUCUUUAAACAGAGACAUGCUUCAGGGUGUAGAUUAUGAACUGCAUAUGGCAGAUGCGGACACUUGGGCAGCUUAUGAGGAUCUGGACCCUGGGUAGGAUCACCUCUAAAGGGAUGCUUACCCUCAGAGAGCCUGGAAAUGUCUGUUUAAAGGACCUGGUCAAAUACUCUAGAACCACAGCUAGGUCACUACCUUGCUGUAAAUGACUUGUGUGUCAUUGUACUGGACAAAUGCUCCCAGUCUUAUUAGGGUUUUACUGAUGUGAACAGAUACCAUGACCAAGGCAACUCGUAUAAGGACAGCAUUUAAUUGGGGCUGGCUUACAGGUUCAGAAGUUCAGUCCCUUAUCAUCAAGGUGGGAGCAUGGCAGCAACCAGGCAGGCAUGGUGCAGGCAGAGCUGAGAGUUCUACAUCUCCAUCUGAAGGCUGCUAGCAGAAUGCUGACUUCCAGGAAGCUAGGACUAGGGUAUUAAAGCCCACACCCACAGUGACACACCUACUCCAACAGGGCCACACCUCCAGGUAGUGCCACUCCCUGGGCCCUCCAUCACACUCCCCAAGGGCAGACUUCGUGUAUACCUCCUGAUUAUUGCUGAAUCCUGGAGGCCACCUCCUAUUGAUAACAAAUUCUAGAAACAUCAAAUAAAUAUAAUAAAUAUUGGUUAAAACAA